UGGGGAAUAUUGCACAAUGGGCGAAAGCCUGAAGCAGCGACGCCGCGUGAGGGAUGACGGCCUUCGGGUUGUAAACCUCUUUCAGUAGGGACGAAGCGCAAGUGACGGUACCUGCAGAAGAAGCACCGGCUAACUACGUGCCAGCAGCCGCGGUAAUACGUAGGGUGCGAGCGUUGUCCGGAAUUACUGGGCGUAAAGAGCUCGUAGGCGGUUUGUCACGUCGUCUGUGAAAUCCUAGGGCUUAACCCUGGACGUGCAGGCGAUACGGGCUGACUUGAGUACUACAGGGGAGACUGGAAUUUCUGGUGUAGCGGUGGAAUGCACAGAUAUCAGGAAGAACACCGAUGGCGAAGGCAGGUCUCUGGGUAGUAACUGACGCUGAGGAGCGAAAGCAUGGGUAGCGAACAGG
rnacentral:rRNA from 1 species